rnacentral:rRNA from 1 species
GACGAACGCUGGCGGCGUGCCUAAUACAUGCAAGUCGAACGAACCGCGACUGAGUGCUUGCACUUGGUCAAGGUGAGUGGCGAACGGGUGAGUAACACGUGGGUAACCUACCUCAUAGUGGGGGAUAACAGUCGGAAACGACUGCUAAUACCGCAUAGGACAUAGGAUCACAUGAUCCAGUGAGGAAAGGUGGCGCAAGCUAUCGCUAAGAGAUGGACCCGCGGUGCAUUAGCUAGUUGGUAGGGUAAAGGCCUACCAAGGCGAUGAUGCAUAGCCGACCUGAGAGGGUGAUCGGCCACAUUGGGACUGAGACACGGCCCAAACUCCUACGGGAGGCAGCAGUAGGGAAUUUUCCGCAAUGGACGCAAGUCUGACGGAGCAACGCCGCGUGAGUGGAGAAGGUCUUCGGAUCGUAAAGCUCUGUUGUUAGAGAAGAACAGCGCAUAGAGUAACUGCUAUGCGUGUGACGGUAUCUAACCAGAAAGCCACGGCUAACUACGUG